AGAGGUGUGGGAUGAGCCCGCGGCCUAUCAGCUUGUUGGUGGGGUGACGGCCUACCAAGGCGACGACGGGUAGCCGGCCUGAGAGGGUGUCCGGCCACACUGGGACUGAGAUACGGCCCAGACUCCUACGGGAGGCAGCAGUGGGGAAUAUUGCACAAUGGGCGCAAGCCUGAUGCAGCGACGCCGCGUGGGGGAUGACGGCCUUCGGGUUGUAAACCUCUUUCACCAUCGACGAAGGUCCGGGUUCUCUCGGAUUGACGGUAGGUGGAGAAAAAGCACCGGCCAACUACGUGCCAGCAGCCGCGGUAAUACGUAGGGUGCGAGCGUUGUCCGGAAUUACUGGGCGUAAAGAGCUCGUAGGUGGUUUGUCGCGUUGUUCGUGAAAUCUCACGGCUUAACUGUGAGCGUGCGGGCGAUACGGGCAGACUAGAGUACUGCAGGGGAGACUGGAAUUCCUGGUGUAGCGGUGGAGUGCGCACAUAUCAGGAGGAACACCGGUGGCGAAGGCGGGUCUCUGGGCAGUAACUGACGCUGAGGAGCGAAAGCGUGGGGAGCGAACAGGAUUAGAUACCCUGGUAGUCCACGCCGUAAACGGUGGGUACUAGGUGUGGGUUUCCUUCCUUGGGAUCCGUGCCGUAGCUAACGCAUUAAGUACCCCGCCUGGGGAGUACGGCCGCAAGGCUAAAACUCAAAGGAAUUGACGGGGGCCCGCACAAGCGGCGGAGCAUGUGGAUUAAUUCGAUGCAACGCGAAGAACCUUACCUGGGUUUGACAUGCACAGGACGCGUCUAGAGAUAGGCGUUCCCUUGUGGCCUGUGUGCAGGUGGUGCAUGGCUGUCGUCAGCUCGUGUCGUGAGAUGUUGGGUUAAGUCCCGCAACGAGCGCAACCCUUGUCUCAUGUUGCCAGCACGUAAUGGUGGGGACUCGUGAGAGACUGCCGGGGUCAACUCGGAGGAAGGUGGGGAUGACGUCAAGUCAUCAUGCCCCUUAUGUCCAGGGCUUCACACAUGCUACAAUGGCCGGUACAAAGGGCUGCGAUGCCGCGAGGUUAAGCGAAUCCUUAAAAGCCGGUCUCAGUUCG
rnacentral:rRNA from 1 species